CGCUAUCCACGUCGUAGGGGUCCUCACGCAACUACCAGCAAAAUUACCAGAAUAGGGAGAGUGGGGAAAAGAACGAAGGAUUGGAAAGCGCUCCUGAAGGCCAGGCCCAACAACGCCGGCCCUAUCGCAGGCGAAGGUUCCCACCUUACUACAUGCGGAGAGCCUAUGCGCGUCGACCACAGUAUUCCAACCCCCCUGUGCAAGGAGAAGUGAUGGAGGGUGCUGACAACCAGGGUGCAGGAGAGCAAGGUAGACCAGUGAGACAGAAUAUGUAUCGGGGUUACAGACCACGAUUCCGCAGGGGCCCUCCUCGCCAAAGACAGCCUAGAGAGGAUGGCAAUGAAGAGGACAAAGAAAAUCAAGGAGAUGAGACCCAAGGUCAGCAGCCACCUCAACGUCGGUAUCGUCGCAACUUCAAUUACCGACGCAGACGCCCAGAGAACCCUAAACCACACGAUGGCAAAGAGACAAAAACAGCCGAUCCACCAGCUGAGAAUUCGUCCGCUCCCGAGGCUGAGCAGGGCGGGGCUGAGUAAAUGCCGGCUUACCAUCUCUACCACCAUCCGGUUUGGUCAUCCAACAAGAAGAAAUGAAUAUGAAAUUCCAGCAAUAAGAAAUGAACAAAGAUUGGAGCUGAAGACCUUAUAGUGCUUGCUUUUUGCCCGUUGACCAGAUCCAUUAGAACUGUCUGCAUUAUCUAUGCAGCAUGGGGUUUUUAUUAUUUUUACCUAAAGAUGUCUCUUUUUGGUAAUGACAAACGUGUUUUUUAAGAAAAAAAAAAAAG
rnacentral:lncRNA from 1 species